rnacentral:rRNA from 1 species
GACGAACGCUGGCGGCGUGCCUAAUACAUGCAAGUCGAACGAGAGCGACCGGUGCUUGCACUGGUCAAUCUAGUGGCGAACGGGUGAGUAACACGUGGGUAACCUGCUCAUCAGAGGGGGAUAACAUCCGGAAACGGAUGCUAAAACCGCAUAGGUCUUCGAGCCGCAUGGCUUGAAGAGGAAAAGAGGCGCAAGCUUCUGCUGAUGGAUGGACCCGCGGUGCAUUAGCUAGUUGGUGAGGUAACGGCUCACCAAGGCCGUGAUGCAUAGCCGACCUGAGAGGGUGAUCGGCCACAUUGGGACUGAGACACGGCCCAAACUCCUACGGGAGGCAGCAGUCGGGAAUCUUCCGCAAUGGACGCAAGUCUGACGGAGCAACGCCGCGUGAGUGAAGAAGGUUUUCGGAUCGUAAAACUCUGUUGUUAGAGAAGAACAAGUGCUAGAGUAACUGUUAGCGCCUUGACGGUAUCUAACCAGAAAGCCACGGCUAACUACGUG